rnacentral:tRNA from 1 species
GGGCCCGUAUCUCAGCUAGGUAGAGCGCUCGGCUCAUAACCGAGUGGUCGAGGGUUCAAAUCCCUCCGGGCCCA